AUGCUGCCUGCCUCUGCAACGGCGCAGAUGCAAGCACCCUCAUCAGUUGACUACGUGGUCAACUCAUCUAAACGGGUCGCCCUUCUCUGCUUCGUCACGUGGGCCACGCCCACUGCGCAGCUCGACAGGCCACAUAAUCCAGGGAUGCAAGGCCACCUUCGGAGAUCCCUUUUCGCCAAGUACCACGCCCGGUGA
rnacentral:rRNA from 1 species